rnacentral:misc_RNA from 1 species
AAGUCGUAACAAGGUUUCCGUAGGUGAACCUGCGGAAGGAUCAUCAAUAAAUCCUAACGGUUUAUAGUUUAAAAUUUAACUAUAAAUCGAAACUUUAUUGUGAACUGUUUAACGUAUUUUAGUUGAGAGUAAAAAUAUGUGAUGUGAUGUCUUGGUUGUUAGACAAAGACGGAUCAGCUCUCAACUAAAAAAAUUUAUACAAACUGUUGAUUUUUUUUAAUAAGUUGGUUAUUUUAUAACAGGAGACUGUUAGUUUUAAUUAUAAAUACAACUUAUAGCGAUGGAUCUCUAGGCUCUG